rnacentral:rRNA from 1 species
UACGAAGGGGGCUAGCGUUGUUCAGAAUUACUGGGCGUAAAGCGCACGUAGGCGGAUACUUAAGUCAGGGGUGAAAUCCCGGGGCUCAACCCCGGAACUGCCCUUGAAACUGGAGAGCUAGAAUCUUGGAGAGGCGAGUGGAAUUCCGAGUGUAGAGGUGAAAUUCGUAGAUAUUCGGAAGAACACCCGUGGCGAAGGCGGCUCUCUGGAACGCAACUGACGCUGAGACGCGAAAGCGUGGGGAGCAAACAGG